GAUGAACGCUGGCGGCGUGCCUAAUACAUGCAAGUCGAGCGAACAGACGAGGAGCUUGCUCCUCUGACGUUAGCGGCGGACGGGUGAGUAACACGCGGAUAACCUACCUAUAAGACUGGGAUAACUUCGGGAAACCGGAGCUAAUACCGGAUAAUAUAUUGAACCGCAUGGUUCAAUAGUGAAAGACGGUUUUGCUGUCACUUAUAGAUGGAUCCGCGCCGCAUUAGCUAGUUGGUAAGGUAACGGCUUACCAAGGCAACGAUGCGUAGCCGACCUGAGAGGGUGAUCGGCCACACUGGAGCUGAGACACGGUCCAGGCUCCUACGGGAGGCAGCAGUAGGGAAUCUUCCGAAAUGGGCGAAAGCCUGACGGAGCAACGCCGCGUGAGUGAUGAAGGUCUGCGGAUCGUAAAACGCUGUUAUUAGGGAAGAACAAAUGUGUAAGUAACUAUGCACGUCUUGACGGUACCUAUUCAGAAAGCCACGGCUAACUACGU
rnacentral:rRNA from 1 species